rnacentral:rRNA from 1 species
ACUCCUACGGGAGGCAGCAGUGGGGAAUAUUGCACAAUGGGGGAAACUCUGAUGCAGCGACGCCGCGUGCAGGAAGAAGUAUUUCGGUAUGUAAAGCUCUAUCAACAGGGAAGAAAUGACGG